rnacentral:rRNA from 1 species
CUUGUCAUCUUUAUAUCUCCACCUGUGCACCUUUUGUAGAUCUGGAUAUCUUUCUGAAUGCCUGGCAUUCGGGUUUGAGGAUUGACUUUUGUCUUUCCUUACAUUUCCAGGCCUAUGUUUUCUUCAUAUACACCAAUUUAUGUUAUAGAAUGUAAUGAAAAGGGCCUUUGUGCCUACAAACCUUAUACAACUUUCAGCAACGGAUCUCUUGGCUCUCGCAUCGAUGAAGAACGCAACGAAAUGCGAUAAGUAAUGUGAAUUGCAGAAUUCAGUGAAUCAUCGAAUCUUUGAACGCACCUUGCGCUCCUUGGUAUUCCGAGGAGCAUGCCUGUUUGAGUGUCAUUAAUAUAUCAACCUCCUCAGGUUUUUGACUUGUCGAGUGUUUGGAUGUGGGGGUCUUUUGCUGGUCUCUUUUGAGGUCGGCUCCCCUAAAAUGCAUUAGCGGAACAAUUUGUUGACCCGUUCAUUGGUGUGAUAACUAUCUACGCUUUUGACGUGAAACAGGUUCAGCUUCUAACAGUCCAUUGACUUGGACAAAUUUUCAUUAAUGUGACCUCAAAUCAGGUAGGACUACCCGCUGAACUUAAGCAUAUCAAUAA